rnacentral:tRNA from 1 species
GGUUGUUUGGCCGAGCGGUCUAAGGCGCCUGAUUCAAGAGUUUACCUCUUAUCCGUUUAACCGCGGCGAAUUCUCAGGUAUCGUGAGAUGCGUGAGUUCGAAUCUCACAGCAACCA